AUGAGAGAAAAAAGUAUUUUUACUGAUAGAGAUUUUAGCUCCUCCCAAUUCUUGCUUAAAUUAUCCAACUCUUGGGUUAUAAAUUUGCUUUUUAGUGACAGCAUAGCUGCAGCCUGCAGGGUCUCUGAAGAAUGGGUCUUCAUCAGAGGACAUGUCUCCUGGCAAGGGGGCAUUUGCUGCCUGCUGCCCAGCUCUGAGCAACAGCCCGGAGCCCUGCUGGCUGCUCUCCGCACCCUGAAGCCGGCUCUGAGUUCGACCAAUGCUCAGCCUUCGCUGGUGCGGCCAGGGCCCUCAUCUGCUGCUUCCAUUUCAGUUCAAGUUCAAACUUGAACACUUGUACAAAGACUCCUUGGAUGAUCUGCUUGUGAUAUUGGAGCAUUUCCUCCUUGCUGGCUGACACAAUGGCAAGCUUUGUCAGUGAAGAGUGCCGAAGAGACACUGCAGGAGGAAGGGGCUUCUCUCCCAGUUCCAGGGUAAGUUUCUUCCCGCUGGCUUACGUGUCACUCAGCUGUUGUACAGGACACUCAGUGAAGCUCACCCCCAGCAAGUUUUGGUGGCACUUCUGUAGGCACUUUACCUGUGAGUUGUAUGGAUACUCCUUUUUCCUUCCUUUCAUGUGAUGAGUUCAGCAGCAGCCCCCACAGGUGGCUUCCAGGACACUCUUGGGAACAUUCCAGUGAGAAGAGUCUUGCCUACCAUGCAUGGCCACUGGCACUCUGGUGUGAGUUUUCCUGCUUGCCACUUCUCUCCUGCACAUCCCUGACCACCAAUUUGCACAGUAACUGUGGACCCACCUCUGGCUCAGGGCAAC
rnacentral:lncRNA from 1 species